rnacentral:rRNA from 1 species
GACGAACCGAGCGAACGUUGUUCGGAAUCACUGGGCUUAAAGGGCGCGUAGGCGGGCUGUCAAGUCUGGGGUGAAAUCCCGCGGCUCAACCGCGGAACUGCCUCAGAUACUGACGGUCUCGAGGGGGAUAGGGGCGAGCGGAACUGUGAGUGGAGCGGUGAAAUGCGUUGAUAUUCACAGGAACUCCGGUGGCGAAGGCGGCUCGCUUGAUCUCUUCUGACGCUGAGGCGCGAAAGCUAGGGGAGCAAACGGG